AAUUUUUAGGUCGCUACAAAGGCAAGUUGAUUAAUCAUGAAUAAUGAUAACUAACAACAGAAGUUAUAUUAAUUACGAUAAAAAAUAAAAGAUUUAAAAAAAAAUCCUGAAAGCUUGCGUUCGUCGUCUUCGUCCACUGUGGUUCACAUUAUUCAAUGAAAAUUAUUUAUUUGAAAUUAGUAAAAACAAAAGUUUCAAAGCAAAGCAAACCGUCAAACAUCGGUGCCAAUGCCGGUUCUCCACGUCUCACCUCUCUACUUUCUGCCAUCUUCGUGCGGUUAACGAAGCCAUUCUUUAACUCCUUGCGGAUCGCUUGCCUUGAAUUGGUAGUAACGGCAGGUGGAUUGCCCAACUGAAUCGUCGGUUUGAGUUCCAUUGUAGUCUUCGCCGCCUUGUUUUUCUCCGACAUUGAGUACUGCGGCAGAGGCAAGCCGAAUUCAUCACCGAAGUAAUCGGGAGAUAUUGCAUUGCUUAAUGAUCCGAAAAUCGACAUUGUAUUCAGUAUGGAGCGAGAUGCAAAAAAAAGCUUGGUGGAAUUGAAGGAGGAUUAU
rnacentral:lncRNA from 1 species